rnacentral:rRNA from 1 species
CUUUGAUCAUGGCUCAGGAUGAACGCUAGCUACAGGCUUAACACAUGCAAGUCGAGGGGAAACGAUAUUGGAAGCUUGCUUCCGAUAGGCGUCGACCGGCGCGCGGGUGAGUAACGCGUAUCCAACCUGCCCAUCACUUGGGAAUAACCUUGCGAAAGUAAGACUAAUGCCCAAUGACAUUUAUAGAAGGCAUCUGAAAUGAAUUAAAGAUUUAUCGGUGAUGGAUGGGGAUGCGUCUGAUUAGCUUGUUGGCGGGGUAACGGCCCACCAAGGCGACGAUCAGUAGGGGUUCUGAGAGGAAGGUCCCCCACAUUGGAACUGAGACACGGUCCAAACUCCUACGGGAGGCAGCAGUGAGGAAUAUUGGUCAAUGGGCGAGAGCCUGAACCAGCCAAGUAGCGUGCAGGAUGACGGCCCUAUGGGUUGUAAACUGCUUUUAUAGGGGAAUAAAGUGAGCCACGUGUGGUUUUUUGCAUGUACCCUAUGAAUAAGGACCGGCUAAUUCCGUGCCAGCAGCCGCGGUAAUACGGAAGGUCCGGGCGUUAUCCGGAUUUAUUGGGUUUAAAGGGAGCGUAGGCCGGAGAUUAAGCGUGUUGUGAAAUGUAGAUGCUCAACAUCUGAACUGCAGCGCGAACUGGUUUCCUUGAGUACGCAUAAAGUGGGCGGAAUUCGUGGUGUAGCGGUGAAAUGCUUAGAUAUCACGAAGAACUCCGAUUGCGAAGGCAGCUCACUGGGGCGCAACUGACGCUGAAGCUCGAAAGCGCGGGUAUCGAACAGGAUUAGAUACCCUGGUAGUCCGCGCGGUAAACGAUGGAUGCCUGCUGUUGGGCCAACUGGUUCAGCGGCCAAGCGAAAGCAUUAAGCAUCCCACCUGGGGAGUACGCCGGCAACGGUGCAACUCAAAGGAAUUGACGGA